CUGGCUCAGGAUGAACGCUAGCGGCAGGCUAACACAUGCAAGUCGAGGGGCAACGCGAGUAGCAAUACUUGGCGGCGACCGGCGCAAGGGUGCGUAACGCGUGAGCAACAUGCCCGUAUCAGGGGGAUAAUCCAGGGAAACUUGGUCUAAUACCCCAUAGUAAUUUUGUAAGGCAUCUUAUAAGAUUUUAAAGCUUUGGUGGAUACGGAUUGGCUCGCGUGACAUUAGCUGGAUGGUAAGGUAACGGCUUACCAUGGCUAUGAUGUCUAGGGGUUCUGAGAGGAAGGUCCCCCACACUGGAACUGAGACACGGUCCAGACUCCUACGGGAGGCAGCAGUGAGGAAUAUUGGACAAUGGAUGGAAAUCUGAUCCAGCCAUGCCGCCGUGAAGGAAGAAGGUCCUAUGGAUUGUAAACUUCUUUUGUAUGGGAGCAAUAAGGCCUACGUGUAGGUUGAUGAGAGUACCAUACGAAUAAGCACCGGCUAACUCCGUGCCAGCCGCGGC
rnacentral:rRNA from 1 species